GAGAUAUGAUCUUUACUCCAGCUAGCAUUGUCCUCUUUUAUCAAAUCUAACAAAAAUAACAAAAUAAUUUGUAAAAUUAAACAUUCGUUUUGCACAAUUAAAAAAACACAAAGUAUCAAGCAGAAAAAAGGGCAAAUUACGCAAAAUUGUACUUUGUGCAGUGUCUAAACGUAAGAGUUACUUCUUAUUAUAUUUAUUUCAAACUUCCAAGUUUUGUUCGGGCAAAUUCCAAGUUUGCUUAUGCCAAACAAUAGCAUAAAUCUGGGAGAACUGUUCUCUGAGUGACCCCGCUCUUAACCAGGCAUCAAGCUAGAAACUAAUCAUGUCUCCAGUGCCAAACCUCCAGCUGAUUCAAUCCUGAAAUUUGUUCAUGCUCAUGCAUAUUUUGUCCACAUCCCCUUCCCAUGAGUUCUCGCCAAUAAUUUGGUAUACCACCCUCUACCCACGGUCCCAAACUUUGCCUCAAUCACUCUCCAAGUUUUUAUAGCAUCUCAAUCCAAAACCUUCCAAGUGACCAUUAUGACAGCCACCUGAAAAUAAGCUCACAUAUUUCGCACAUGUGAAUAUAAUGCAUAACGACUAAAAAUACCCCAAUAUAAAAGUAAAAUAAAAAUUAGAUUUAUUAACUUCAUCACUUGACAACGAAUCUCACAUGAGAUAGGAAUUAUAAGUUCACCAGCUGCAUUUAAACAAAGCACGGAGUCUGCAUUUAAAUUUCUAUGAUUUUAGACUUGGUCUAUUUUUCCAGUGAGUCAAAAAUAUUGAACACAUGAAAUUUGAACACUGCAAAGCCUUUCAACUAGACGGUAAGUGUAAGAAGGAUUUCCUAUAAAUAACCUAUCAAUCUUAUUCUAUUAUUCACUCCCUAAAAUAUUAAAAGAAGAAUAUGAAGGGCCUGUAUGGCAACAAGGGAAAACACCAGCAACACAAAAUAGCACCCAGUUGAGUGCAAGUUGCAGUUCCAUUUCCACAAAUUAACAGCUAUUCUAUUGGAGAAAGGAUUUAUCAUUGGAUCAUUUUAUCAAACAGUUCCAUGCAUUCUAAGAUCAUGUUUGGGAUAGAACCGAUAUGCAUUACCCAUUACUCCUGACCAUUAGGCUCAUAAAUAAAUUACUUACUUCCUCUGAACAAUACGAAUACGAAUUUGAGACGAAGAUAAAAGAGGGAAGAAAAAGGAACUAAUUUUACCUCUUUAUCAACGAGUCUCAACUAAAACAAGAGUCAGCUUUCCAAUCACCAAGUCCCCUCCGUCAUUCUCGGCCUCCUGAAAUCGCAGAAUCUCUUCCUCUUUUCUUCCCCUGUUUCUUCCGUUCUCGGUCACACUGCUUCUCCUCCAAUUUCUUCAGUUUUUCUUCACUGAAUAUGCCUCACCUCUCGGUCCCUCAGCCUCAAUCCCAUACAACUCGAAAUCUUACCCUCUUUUCAAACCCUAAAGCACCAAAAUUUCUCCCAAUUCCUCUCCCUCUGUUUCUCUACUGUCAAUUCCGUUGUCUCUUAGUUCCUCUCUCACGCUCCUCUCCUCCGAAAAUCAGAAAAGAUGAGAGAAAAUCAGGUCCUCCCUUACAAAUCGUCAAAAGCCUCAACCCAAUCUUCUUCUCAACUCCUCUUCCUCUCCCCGCCCCCGAAUAUCCUCCCUCUUCUUUAUAGCCGCGGCUUCUUCCUCUUUGCGGGUGACCACCACCGAAUCUCUGUCUUCUUCCACCAACGGCCUCAAUGCGAUGUUGUUUCUCUGCCUUCUCCUCGUGCCAGAUUCGUCUCAGUCCUCACUCAAUUUCUCUCUCAAUACGCCUCUGCCUCCCUGGUCUCUGUGCUCUGCGAUCGCGCGCUCAGUGUCUGUCCUCUCCUCUCCCUUGCUUGUGNNNNN
rnacentral:lncRNA from 1 species